AGCGAACGCUGGCGGCAGGCUUAACACAUGCAAGUCGAACGCUCGUAGCAAUACGGGAGUGGCAGACGGGUGAGUAACGCGUGGGAAUAUGCCUUUUGGUUCGGAAUAACUCAGGGAAACUUGAGCUAAUACCGGAUAAGCCCGUGAGGGGAAAGAUUUAUCGCCAAAAGAUUAGCCCGCGUCCGACUAGCUAGUUGGUGAGGUAAUGGCUCACCAAGGCGACGAUCGGUAGCUGGUCUGAGAGGAUGAUCAGCCACAUUGGGACUGAGACACGACCCAAACUCCUACGGGAGGCAGCAGUGGGGAAUAUUGGACAAUGGGCGCAAGCCUGAUCCAGCCAUGCCGCGUGAGUGAUGAAGGCCUUAGGGUUGUAAAGCUCUUUUGUCCGGGAAGAUAAUGACGGUACCGGAAGAAUAAGCCCCGGCUAACUUCGUGCCAGCCGCCGCCGUAA
rnacentral:rRNA from 1 species